rnacentral:lncRNA from 1 species
UACUNUAGCACAUUAGUCUAAUAGUUAGGUGAAAGAGGGAUAUGGAAGUAUGAAGUGUUUGUAAAUGUUUAUAUGCAUUUGGCAGAGUGAAUGACAAUUGACUGAGAUUGUUCUCAAAGAAUUGAUUGAUAUUUAAAAUAUUUUAUCCUAAAGAUAAGAUUAUUAAAUCUGCCUAAAAUCGGUUCCAGAUUUGGAAAUAAACAGCCAACCUCAGUUUCACCAUUAUUGUUAGACCUGCUACUAGUAACAGAUGUUUUAUGCUGUGAUAUGGUGUAUUUGGGGCUUUAUGAUUAUAAAUACUUCUAUUUACCUCUUUGGUGUAAGAAGGAUGUCCUAAGUUAGUUAUUCAACUAUUGUUAUUUCAUACCGAUUGGUAGUUGUCCAUAAAGGUAGGUUGUUGUAUUCUUUGCAGCUAAAUGUAGAUCAAAUUCUAAUUACAGAAGUUCAUUGCACAUGUUCUUUGACCACACAUGUCUCCUCUUUUUCUUAAACCUUCCCAUUCUAUUUUGUGCAGUCUUCCCCUCCUCUUUCUCUUUGUUUCUAUUUCUUGCUACCCCUCUUUGUCGUGGUUCAGUGGAAGUUAUUCUAUUCUUUUUUUUUUUUCAGUUUUAGUAUAAUUAGAGUUAUCUGAAGUUAAUAAUUCUAGAUGGUUUCUUAGUCAUAGCUUCAUUUAGAACUCAAAUGAAUUUGUAUGUAAGUUCAGUAAUUAAAGACUGUUUGAUCUUGCUUAACUAGAGUGGCUAAACUUGUUUUUUGUGACUUCCAUAUAGCUCCUGAAGUGGUUAAGAAGGCUGGGAUAGCUCAUUCAGAAGGCUUAAAUUUUUGUACACUCAAGCAAGGGAUCUAUAGGAAAGUGAAGCAAGGUAUAUUUAGUUGGGACUUUUCCCCUUAUCUUUUUUUCUUUGUUCCAUGUGUGUAUGUUUUUCGCCCCUCAUCAAUCUGUGCUUUUAUCUGAGUUUGAUGUUAAUGUUCAAUGAUAUUAUGAUGUCAGACUCUGACUUUUUAUGUGAUAUGUAACUCAACCAUGUUAUCUGAUGCCAAG